AACGAACGCUGGCGGCAUGCCUAACACAUGCAAGUCGAACGAGACCUUCGGGUCUAGUGGCGCACGGUUGCGUAACGCGUGGGAACCUGCCCUUAGGUUCGGAAUAACUCCCCGAAAGGGGUGCUAAUACCGGAUAAUGUCUUCGGACCAAAGAUUUAUCGCCUUUGGAUGGGCCCGCGUUGGAUUAGCUAGUUGGUAGGGUAAAAGCCUACCAAGGCGACGAUCCAUAGCUGGUCUGAGAGGAUGAUCAGCCACACUGGGACUGAGACACGGCCCAGAAUCCUACGGGAGGCAGCAGUGGGGAAUAGUGGAAAAUGGGCGAAAGCCUGAUCCAGCAAUGCCGCGUGAGUGAUGAAGGCCUUAGGGUUGUAAAGCUCUUUUAACCGGGAUGAUAAUGACAGUACCGGGAGAAUAAGCUCCGGCUAACUCCGUG
rnacentral:rRNA from 1 species